UAAAGUGUAAAUUUAAGCUUCUAACUUAAAUUAUGGAAGUAAAAUUCCACUCUUUUA
rnacentral:tRNA from 1 species